CUACGGGGGGCUGCAGUGAGGAAUAUUGCACAAUGGGGGGAACCCUGAUGCAGCAACGCCGCGUGGAGGAUGACGCAUUUCGGUGUGUAAACUCCUUUUAUAUGUCAAGAAAAUGACGGUAGCAUAUGAAUAAGCACUGGCUAACUCCGUGCCAGCAGCCGCGGUAAUACGGAGGGUGCAAGCGUUACUCGGAAUCACUGGGCGUAAAGGACGCGUAGGCGGGUUGGAAAGUCAGGUGUGAAAUCCUACAGCUUAACUGUAGAACUGCACUUGAAACUUCUAAUCUAGAGUAUGGGAGGGGGAGAUGGAAUUAGUGGUGUAGGGGUAAAAUCCGUAGAUAUCACUAGGAAUACCUAAAGCGAAGGCGAUCUCCUUGAACAUUACUGACGCUAAGGCGUGAAAGCGUGGGGAGCAAACAGGAUUAGAUACCCGGGUAGUC
rnacentral:rRNA from 1 species